rnacentral:rRNA from 1 species
UACGUAGGGCGCAAGCGUUGUCCGGAAUUAUUGGGCGUAAAGAGCUCGUAGGCGGUUUGUUGCGUCGGCUGUGAAAACCUGAGGCUCAACCUCAGGCCUGCAGUCGAUACGAGCAGACUAGAGUGUUGCAGGGGGAGACUGGAAUUCCUGGUGUAGCGGUGAAAUGCGCAGAUAUCGGGAAGAACACCCGUGGCGAAGGCGGCCAUCUGGACCAGUACUGACGCUGAGGCACGAAAGCGUGGGGAGCAAACAGG